CCAACAGGGAUUGCCCCUAGUAACGGCGAGUGAAGCGGCAACAGCUCAAAUUUGAAAUCUGGCUCUCGGGCCCGAGCUUGUAAUUUGUAGAGGAUGCUUUUGAUGCGGUGCCUUCCGAGUUCCCUGGAACGGGACGCCAUAGAGGGUGAGAGCCCCGUCUGGUUGGAUGCCAAAUCUCUGUAAAGCUCCUUCAACGAGUCGAGUAGUUUGGGAAUGCUGCUCUAAAUGGGAGGUAUAUGUCUUCUAAAGCUAAAUACCGGCCAGAGACCGAUAGCGCACAAGUAGAGUGAUCGAAAGAUGAAAAGCACUUUGAAAAGAGAGUUAAAAAGUACGUGAAAUUGUUGAAAGGGAAGCGUUUAUGACCAGACUUGGGCUUGUUUAAUCAUCCGGGCUUCUGCCCGGUGCACUUGUUCAGCCCAGGCCAGCAUCAUUUUUCGCCGGGGGAUAAAGGCGGCGGGAAUGUGGCUCUCUUCGGGGAGUGUUAUAGCCCAUCGUGUAAUACCCUGGCGGGGAAUGAGGUUCGCGCAUCUGCAAGGAUGCUGGCGUAAUGGUCAUCAACGACCCGUCUUGAAACACGGACCAAGGAGUCGUCUUCGUAUGCGAGUGUUCGGGUGUCAAACCCCUACGCGUAAUGAAAGUGAACGCAGGUGAGAGCUUCGGCGCAUCAUCGACCGAUCCUGAUGUUCUCGGAUGGAUUUGAGUAAGAGCAUACGGGGCCGGACCCGAAAGAAGGUGAACUAUGCCUGUAUAGGGUGAAGCCAGAGAAACUCUGGUGGAGGCUCGCAGCGGUUCUGACGUGCAAAUCGAUCGUCAAAUAUGGGCAUGGGGGCGAAAGACUAAUCGA
rnacentral:rRNA from 2 species